UGGACGGAGAGUUUGAUCCUGGCUCAGGGUUAACGCUGGCGGUGCGCAUAACACAUGCAAGUCGAGCGAGGGCUCAUUUCCCGCAAGGGAGGUGAGUUCCUAGCGGCGAACGGGUGAGUAACACGUGGGCAACCUUUCCUAUCGCGGGGGAUAACAGCGGGAAACCGCUGCUAAUACCGCAUGUAGUCACCGGUCGCAUGGCCGGUGAAAAAAGCAGCAAUGCACGAUGGGGUGGGCCCGCGGCCUAUCAGCUAGUCGGUGGGGUAACGGCCUACCGAGGCGAUGA
rnacentral:rRNA from 1 species